GGAUUAGAUACCCUGGUAGUCCACACCGUAAACGAUGAAUGCCAGACGUUGGGCAGCAUGCUGUUCGGUGUCGCAGUUAACGCAUUAAGCAUUCCGCCUGGGGAGUACGGUCGCAAGAUUAAAACUCAAAGGAAUUGACGGGGGCCUGCACAAGCGGUGGAGCAUGUGGUUUAAUUCGAAGCAACGCGCAGAACCUUACCAUCCCUUGACAUCCUCAACGCGAUUUCCGGAGACGGAUUUCUUCAGUUCGGCUGGUUGAGUGACAGGUGCUGCAUGGCUGUCGUCAGCUCGUGCCG
rnacentral:rRNA from 1 species